GACGAACGCUGGCGGCGUGCCUAAUACAUGCAAGUCGAGCGCAGGAAACUGACGGAACUCUUCGGAGGGAAGGCAGUGGAAUGAGCGGCGGACGGGUGAGUAACACGUAAGGAACCUACCUCAAGGAUUGGGAUAACUCCGAGAAAUCGGAGCUAAUACCGGAUAGUUCAUCGGACCGCAUGGUCCGUUGAUGAAAGGCGCUCCGGCGUCACCUUGAGAUGGCCUUGCGGUGCAUUAGCUAGUUGGUGGGGUAACGGCCCACCAAGGCGACGAUGCAUAGCCGACCUGAGAGGGUGAUCGGCCACACUGGUACUGAGACACGGCCCAGACUCCUACGGGAGGCAGCAGUAGGGAAUCUUCCACAAUGGACGAAAGUCUGAUGGAGCAACGCCGCGUGAGUGAUGAAGGUUUUCGGAUCGUAAAACUCUGUUGUAAGGGAAGAACACGUACGAGAGGGAAUGCUCGUACCUUGACGGUACCUUACGAGAAAGCCACGGCUAACUACGUGCCAGCCGCCGCGGUAAAAC
rnacentral:rRNA from 1 species